AGCUUUCUAUUUCUACCGAAGGUAAUAUCUGCUUUAUUUUAGUUUAUUUUAGACAUUAAGCUUAUUAUUCACUAAACAUAUCUGCUAAUGUUGUUCGCCAACAGUUUUGUUUUAAGUAAAUACAUUAGCGGGAAAGCUUGAAUUAAAUAAAAUUAUAACUAGGUGUAGAUCGUGCUGUAAUUCGGAAUUUAACUUUGGCAAAAGAAAACGAAUGGUGAUUAGGCAGAGAGUGAAUAGACGGAGAAUGCCGACAAAUGAGAUACCCAUGUCUGAACAGACAGUAUACGAGGAAAUACAAGUUAUCGGAUAAAUACGUGACAUCAAAUAUGGAGCAAAACGUCUCGAUUUGUUUAAGCAAUAGCUAUCGCGCUAUUAUUUCUAAAGUGCAUUAAGUGCACAGAAGAUAAUUUAAGAGACAAGAUCAUUUAGGAGACAAGAUCAUUUAAUGUUUCCAUUUUUAAUUUCUACUUUCAAAAUAUAACGUAAACUAACAAUAAGAUACGGAAAUAUACUUAGCUGUAUUUACAACAAUGUAUAAUUUGUUUUAACAAUAUAGCAUAAUACUAAAUAAAUAAUUAUCGUGUAAAAUUAAUUACUAAAUUAAUUACUAAAUAACUAAUAAAUUGUAAUUAGUUAUUAGUAGUAAUUAAUAUAUUAUUUAGUUCAUCGUCAAGCUUUUUUCCAUAGAAUAGUGUCGGAUAUAACAUAUGAUUUAUUGAAAACAAAAUAUGUAAUAAGGCAUUUGCAGUGUAUUAAUAUAAAAAUUGAUAUGUACAUACUGUGUGUUUGGAGAACUUUAUCAUUUCCUGAUGUGUCACUUGCGUUUAGCGGAUAAGAAAUCUGUUAUCGCGGAUAGAAAUAUCCUUUAAGGAAAAGCGUUUCCUCUCUAUCAAGAUGUCAACCAAUACUACUUCAGUAAUCUGAACAGUAUGAGUCGAAAACACGGUGCAAACGGUUUCCGUAAAAUUUCGCUUCUAUCCUUAUUUUAUUUGAAUCCAAUUAUCACGAUUAAAAUGCAAGUUAUUCAUUAAAGGACGCAAAAGUGUUGCAAUUAAAUUAGAUUAAAUACGCGAUAUGUAGUAUCACAUAUGUCACGCAAUAAACUGAUAUAGACAUACAUCGAAGUGAUGAUAAAACAAAAAACUUAAUUAGGUGCUACAUUUAUUCUGCCAAGUUUUGCUUCGUUCAUUUUGUUUCUGAAAAUCGUUAAUUUGUUCAGUGGGACGUAUAUAUUUAAUAAAAAUGCGAAGAGCUGUGAUGGAUAUGUUAAUGUUCCUUCUCUUCGCAAGUCAGGUACUUCAUGUUUUCGGAAAAGUGAUUGUAAUACGCAAACUGAAUAAAGCAAAUGAAAUGAAACUGGCAUGUCUCUCAGAAGACGAUGGCGGCGCUCUUGUGUGGAACGAUCUAAUAUCGAAAGAAUCAAUCAAAAUAUCAAACAAAAUGCAAUUUAGUAACGUGGAUGAUGUUGCGAAAAAUAAAAAGAAGAUAGAUUGCAAGAUGAACAAAAUCGACGAUUGCUGGAAAUCGUGGACUACAGAAAAAUGGAAUCUUACUGAUUCCCUUAAAACGCCUUUGGGUCCGGUAUUUGAUCAACGCUGGGAAGAAUUCACAGAACAUGGGAUUUUUGAUCGCUUAAAUCAUCCUAUAGAACUAAGAAACACUACAGCGUUUUCCAUUUCGGUUCGUGCAGCCGCUAGGGUGACCAUAACUCUUUGCAACGGCUCUAAAUAUAAACAAAAUUCUUGUUAUUCGAUCAUAAUAGGUAAUUACGGCAAUACAAAGUCCGUCAUACAAAAAUGUUCAAAAGGCAUACCCAUGGAAUGGCAGGAAUCUGAUGAGGAAUGCAGACAAUUUAAAGUUUCCUUCAGUCACAAACCAUUAUCUGCAACUGAAUGGCGAACUUUCCUCAUUACGUGGGACUCCGUAGCUCGGAAUAUAUCCGUUUUUGAUGCUGCCAGUAAUACUGUCUUUAUGAAAUAUCAAGAUAACGAACAAUCAAAUAGUUCAAAAAACUACCACAUGUUUAUAGCCAGCAUCAAUUCUAUGUUCUACCGAUUUCACAUAUAUACUUUUCUGCACACGACCGUUGAGAAUGCAAUUUUAAGGAGUCCGAUCUUUCAGUUCAAUAAUAAAAUGAUAUGUAUACAACUGUUAGCUGGCCUUUGUGCAGAAUGCGACAUAAACAUAACGCUAUAUGAUGCCACACACAAUAUUGAGUUGAAACAAUUCACGGUAAAAGGCUCCUCAAAGGCUACAGCACACGGUUUACCUACAUGGCAAUUCGUCACGAUUGAACAUUUAACUGAUCGUAAUAGUGCGAUAAUGGAAGUAAGACCUAUACUUAAUUCAAACAGUCCUAAUCCAUUAUGGGCGAUAGCGAAUGUUCGACAAUGUCCCAGAUAUGAAUCAUUUAGAAAAGGUGUUUUGUCUAUCUCUGUUAAUCCGUAUGUUUUUACAUACGUACAUACAUCGUCAAAUUUGACAUGUCAAAAAUUAUUUUACGAUGAGCAUACCGUCGUGAGUAGUUUGUCGGAUGUCAAAUCGAAUAUGAACUUAGAUGAUACUGAGUGUCCUGAAGGCAAAUUUGGACCAAGAUGUUCGGUUUCUUGCGAUCUUGUAUCAAACGCUGGUAAUGAUUGCAAAGACUCUGCAAUCUGUUAUCAAAAUGGUUGCACCUGUUUUCCUGGUUUCAUGGGACGUUACUGUUCUAGACCUUGUCAAGGAAAUAUGUACGGACAAAAUUGUAACAAAACUUGCGAUUCGUGCAUGGUCAGGAAAGAAUCAACAUCUCUAUGUAAUAAAGUAACUGGAGUAUGUAAUUAUGGAUGCAAUAACCAUCCAAACAAACUUUAUAUACCACCUAUGUGUCAAAUGAGUAUAACCAAGCCGGGCGCACCUCUAGUUAACUUUAUAAAUACCGUAAAUAUCCAAGUGAAACUUCUUAUCACAUGGAAGGAGGAGUAUGAUGGACCACUCUUUUAUUCCUUCAUCAUUCAAACCACAAAUAAUAUUAAUAUUAAUGGAAUACGCUGGAAGCCAGUAUUUCAAAAUGUAACAGAGCUGACGGGAGUUUUUACAAAUUUAAAAUCUAAUGUUAUUUAUUACAUUAUAUGCAUAUUACGUGCUUGUAACCAAGAUGGCAAGUUAUGUAAUGACAUAUCGAGCGAACGACACAUCGUAGAAAUAAAUUGCAAUCAGUCUAAUUUCUUCUUGAUACCCGAAGAACAUAGCUUGUCGAUUAAUUGGAAAAACGAACUAAACCAGCAACUAUAUUCGUGUGUAGCGAAUCGAUACAUGUUGAUAGUACAACAGGCAAAUACGAGCGAAGAAAUCUUAAAUACAUCAAUUGACAAACUUCCAUACAAAGUAUCUUCAUUACCAUCAUACACUUUAUUUAAUGUAAUUAUACUUCAGAAAAAUAAGAAAAUAUUUUCUAAACAAAUUCGUACACUCAAAGAAGCUCCAUUGAAAAUUUCAAAUCUUCGAAGCUUGAACGUAUCUGACACUAAUGUCACUUUGAGCUGGAUGGCUCCAAAACAACUAAAUGAAGAAAAAAUAAUGGAGUAUGAAGUAACAUUGCAGGUUAAAAAAUACUAUGGUUGUACCGAUUCUAAACCUCUUUUAAAUAAUCCCAACACUACAUACUUGACAAACGACACAACCAUUACAAUCCAGAAUUUACAUCCAUAUGCACUGUACAAUGCAGAAGUUGUUGUUUAUAAUUCACAAUAUAAUAGCGAGCCCGAAGAAACAACCUUUGAAACAAAAGUAUCUGCUAUAGCAACGGAAGUAUACAGCAAUAUAAACGUGCAAGGUUGGAAUAUGACGUGGGAACCACCUGAAGACUGCAGGACGAUUACGGGACCAUUAUAUUCAAGGAUACAAAUAUACGGAAUAAGUGAUGAUGUUAAAGAUGUUAAUAUGAUGAAACAAACAGCUUACUAUCACUUGUCUUUAAAGGAAAUUCAGUUAGACGGUGCUGAACGAUACAUGGCAAAACUGUACGUGAUAAGACGUGCGACAGGCUUAGAAAAUCAUUUCGCUUAUCAAACAUAUGAGUUUGAAACUCCAUCUAAAGCUCCGCCUAAGGUAAUCAAUCUGGAAGUCUAUGAAAUUGACAGUCGUCAAAAUCCUACUAUUGUAUAUUUGAGAUGGCAACGUCCACGUCCACCUCUCAACGGGAUAUUGCAUGCUUAUCGCAUCCGAUUAUGUGAAAGAAAUGAAUGCACUAAUAAUACAGUUGAAUCAAAUGCUGUCUGUAACUUAUGGGACAAUUAUAUUUGUGGAUCUAUUCAGAGAUAUUCAAAGAAACAGCAGAUGCUUGAAGUUGUGGCGAGCAAUGUUAAUGUUUCUAAACCAGGCAUUCCGUUUGUAGUGUCUAUGAUAAAUCUUGAUAACGCAGCUCCAGACCAACCUGAUAAUUUCACCAUUACAACGCUCAAUAAUAGCGUAGUGGAUCUACAGUGGUGUCAUCCUUGGAAAACGGGCAGUCCUCUGGAGUAUUUUCGUAUUCAGAUGAACCCGAUUUCAACAAAUCUGCAAACGCUUUCGGAAAAUGAUAAAUUUCCGAAAAAUCACAGUUUGCCAAUUAAAAUCGAAUUCAUGGUGUCCAAUUAUACACGUAAUUACCACGAACGAUUAUACCUGCUUCCUUCAACGCAGUACCUCGUCUCCAUUCAAGCUGUAACGUAUAACAACAGAACUAGCAAAAUAAUGUACAAGAACUUCGAAACACCUUCUACUUUAAAGUUCAAUGGUCAUCUAAAAUACAUGCUAUCUGAUUCGAUGAUUUCACUGGAUAUACCGCCUGUUUUGAACAAUACGAAGAACAGCAUGAUACACGUCAUAGUAAAAGGGCCUAAACCCUGCGAGGAAUAUUUAAAAGUACCUAAAAAUUUACAAGCGCAAGCAGGAGUGCAGGUGGAUGAUGACGCUUGGCAAGCCGCUGAGCUUCCGACUCAAAAGCUCGCUGGCAAACCGUUCAUAAUUGGUAACAAUCAAUUUUAUGGCAAAGCCAAGAACUGCCCACACAACCUAAGGAAUUGUAUGAAAUAAUAGUUCUCGUCGUUGAGCGUAACCAAAAUUUGUCUAGCAAAGCCAUACUCAAAAUAUCGUUUCGCAACAAUGAUGUUUCAUCGACGCAUCACGAAAAGUGGAUUAUACCCAUACUGUUAAUCAUCAUCGGGGCAGCCAUAGCUUUUUAUUUCUACCGAAGGAAAAAGCAAGGAGAAGCUAAACAAAAGAUAUUGCAAAAUGAGACAACUUUGUCUCAAGACGUAACAUACAAAGCACAGGAUGAAGCCCAUGAUAUUAAAUUAGAAGCAAAAUCUUCCGAUCCUAGUCAGCAGUAAUGACUGUGGAUGGCUACUCUAAAAGCUGCACCCUGCUAUCGAAAAUGAUGAGAAGAUAAAUCUUUGAUUGAGUUUUUAAUUCUUAACUUUAAAAUGUCAUACAAAUUAUAGUAUCAAAAUAAUACAUUUACAAUAAGAUCGCAUAAUACUAAGAAAAUUAAUAUAAAUAACUAUUUAGCAUUAUAGCACUUA
rnacentral:misc_RNA from 1 species